rnacentral:lncRNA from 1 species
AACUUUUAAAAGCAGACUCUGGGUUGCUUUUCAAAAUUGCUUUCAAAAGAAGCAGAGAUGAACUUUUGAUAAAUUUUUUAAUUCCCAAAAUACCAUAAUUCAUUUUAAAAAAUGACACCACCUCCACUUCUACAUCCAACUCCACCACUUGCACCACCACAUUCCCUACCUCUACCACCACAUCAUUCUCCUCCUCAUACUCCACCACCACCACCACCACCACCACCUCCACCACCUCCACCACCUCCACCACCACAACCAGCUCCUCCUCCAAAACCUCCACAUCCACUACCACCUCCACAACCAACACCACAACCACCACCAUGCUGCCACCACCACCACCACCACCUCCACAAUCGCCAUCCCCACCACCACCACCACCACUACCACAACCACCAACGGCACCUUCAUCACCACCACUACCUCCACUCCAUCACUACCACUACCACCACAUGAUUAGUACAUAACACUUUUAACAUCAUGUCUAUUUUAGUCAGUAUUCAUAGUUACAACAAUUUUAUAUUAAAAUUUACCAAGCGGUUUUGACACUGCUUUUUGUCCUAACAGCACUUUAAAAAUAUUGUUUACCAAACAUGGAGCUGCUUUACUUUACAGCUAAUUAUUUUCAAAGCACAGCAAAAGCAACCUUUUUUAAAAGUGACAGCAAUCCCAAACUGGGCCUCAGUGUCA